rnacentral:rRNA from 1 species
CAAGUCGAACGGUAACGCGGACUUCGGUCUGGCGACGAGUGGCGAACGGGUGAGGUAAUGCAUCGGAACGUAUCCAUUUGUGGGGGAUAGCCCGGCGAAAGCCGGAUUAAUACCGCAUAAAUCUCUGAGGAGGAAAGUGGGGGACCUUCGGGCCUUACGCUGAUGGAGCGGCUGAUGUCGGAUUAGCUAAGUUGGUAGGUAAAGGCCUACCAAGGCGACGAUCCGUAGCUGGUCUGAGAGGACGACCAGCCACACUAGAACUGAGACACGGUCCAGACUCC